rnacentral:rRNA from 1 species
ACGCUGGCGGUAGGCCUAACCCAUGCAAGUCGAACGGCAGCACAGUAAGAGCUUGCUCUUACGGGUGGCGAGUGGCGGACGGGUGAGGAAUACAUCGGAAUCUACUUUUUCGUGGGGGAUAACGUAGGGAAACUUACGCUAAUACCGCAUACGACCUACGGGUGAAAGCAGGGGAUCUUCGGACCUUGCGCGAUUGAAUGAGCCGAUGUCGGAUUAGCUAGUUGGCGGGGUAAAGGCCCACCAAGGCGACGAUCCGUAGCUGGUCUGAGAGGAUGAUCAGCCACACUGGAACUGAGACACGGUCCAGACUCCUACGGGAGGCAGCAGUGGGGAAUAUUGGACAAUGGGCGCAAGCCUGAUCCAGCCAUACCGCGUGGGUGAAGAAGGCCUUCGGGUUGUAAAGCCCUUUUGUUGGGAAAGAAAAGCAGCAGGUUAAUACCCCGCUGUUCUGACGGUACCCAAAGAAUAAGCACCGGCUAACUUCGUG